GUGCGAUAAGUAAUGUGAAUUGCAGUAUUCCGUGAAUCAUCGAAUCUUUGAACGCAUAUUGCACUUUCUGGUAUUCCGGAAAGUAUGCCUGUUUGAGGGUCAGUUAAAUAAAAAUCGGUGUUGUUGCCGCUUUUCGUGGUGACGCGUCGGAAUUGAGUUGUCUUACCUUCGGUUAAGUGACUUAAAAUUUUGUAUGAUUUUCGAACGUAUUUAAAUUUAUUUGAACGUUUGAUAUCGAAUGCUUAUUAGGUUCGGUCAUCCUCAUGACUCGCGCCUAUAAUUUUUCAUUAAAUGACCUCAAAUCAGGUAAGAAUACCCGCUGAACUUAA
rnacentral:misc_RNA from 1 species